rnacentral:lncRNA from 1 species
AUGAUCACACUCAACUGGCACCCUUGCUUCUCGGAACCCAGAAAAAAUUUCAGUCCAGGAGCUUGCGGCCGGCAUGAGCUCCACCAAGGCCGGCCGGGUCUGCGGGAGGUCGGGUGCCCAGAGGGGCGGGGCGCAACCUGCCGGCCCCCUGGGCUGGGCCGAGAGAGGAGUAGCCGCCGCGGAGGCGCUCGGGUGAGACACUCACGGGGUGGUGUGGCCCGAGCCGGGCGCGAGGAUGCAGGCUCCCGGCUUGUGAAGGAACAUGCGAACCACCUGGCGAUCAACAAGGCCGGUCUGAGUUUUAAAAGAUCACACUGCUGUCAGGCAUGGUGGUGCACAACUGUAAUCUCGAAACUCAGGAGGCUGAAGCAGGAGAAUUGCAUAGUGCAUUCAAGAGAGAUUGGGCUACAUAGCAAGACCCUGUCUCAAAAAACACGAACCAAGGUCAGGAAUUUAGCUCAGUGGUGCUGCCACCUGCCCUGCAAGUGCAAGGUCCUGAGUUUGAUCCCCGGUUUAAAAAAAAAUCAAUUGUGGUCAAAUACACACAAGGUAUGACUUACCAUUCCAGCCCUGUUUGAGUGUUCAGCAUAUAGAAAUUCACACUGUUAUGCAACCAUCUCCACCAUCUCCACACCCAUUAAAUACUAACUCUUCAUUCUGUUUCUCAAACCCCUGGCCACCCCAUUCCAUUUUUCCUUUCUAGGACCUUGAGCGUUCUAGGCACAGAAGUCUCUCAGUCUCUAUUCACGGGGGACUAGUUUCUGGAUGCACCAUGGGUAACAGUAUUCCCUGGAUGCUCAAGAUGCUUGUAUGAAACACCACAGCGUUUGCAUAGAACCUACUCACACCCUCCCAUGUACAGGUUACAUCAUCUCGGGUUACUGAUGCUAAUACAGCUAAUAUAAUGCAAGCACUAUGGAAACAGUUGUUAUACUGUAUUAUUCAGGAAUAAUGACAAGAAAAAGACCUGUGUACGUUCAGCACAGAUGCCAUGUUUUUGUUUUUGUUUUUUUACUGAAUAGUUUUUAUCCCUGGUUGGUUGAAUCAGGAAAUAUGGAACCCGUGGGUACAAAGGGCUGACUACGCCUCAUAUACGUGGAAUCAUCCAGUGUUUCUCUUUUUCUUUUUUCCUCCCUCCCCCUUCCCUUCCUUUUUCCUUCCUCUUUCUCUCUUUUCUUUACAAUACUGGAGAUUGAACCCAGGGCUUUGGCCUUGAGCUACAUCUCCAGCCUUUUUUGUGGUUGUUGGUAUUUUGAAACAAGGUUUCACCAAGUUACUACAUUGUGCAGGUGGGCCUUUUGUAACCCUCCUGUCUCAGCCUUCCAAAGUGCUGGAAUUAUAGGCACGUGCCACCAUAACCUUGUAUUUGUCUUUUUUGUCCACUACAAAACAUCCUCAAAGUUCAUUUGAAUUUUUUUUUUAACUAUGAGUUAUGCUACUUUUUAGUUAAAAAGUCGUUAGAUGUCCAAAAACAAAAUCGCAACAUUAUAUACUUAAUAAGUUCAGGGAAAAUGUAACAGUCAAAACCUUGUUUAAAUUAUCACAGUUAUUUAACAGUUUAUUUAAACAUUUAAAAAUCAUUUUCAAAAAACUCAAUGAAAAUGACUGGAAGUUUGAAAUGAUAAAGAUGCUUAUUUCUCACUGGGUGCUUUGGCAGCCCAGGCCCAGCAACCUAGUGUCUUAAGGAGACCCUGUUUUAAAAUUUGUGUGUAUAUCUGUGUGUGUCGUAUUUUGAGAUACGGUCUCAUUACAUAGCCUGAACUGACCUCAAACUCAUAGCGAUCCUCCUGCCUUAGCCUCCAAAGCACUGGCAGUUCAGACGUGCACUGCCUCACCCCACUUCCGUCCAUGUACUGAGUUCCAGACCAACCUGAACCACGUAAGGAGACCCUGUCUUUUCACCUGUAAGUUGUUCCUCCUCUAUCGCCAAGGAAGCAGCUGUAUUGGUGGGCAGCAGAUCCACUUCAAAUGCACAUAGCUUGCAUUGUAGCCUGACAAUAAAGAUACCCAUCUAGAUCACCUAUCUUGAAGACACCCCUUAAAUCUACCCAACUCCAGCUUAUUUCUCGGAGCACUUGCACUCCAUCCGUGAGUAUCUGUGUAAUGAACCCUUUUCUUGGCUCCUACUGGUGCUUCCUAAACAUUCUUUUUCCACCACAGGAAUCAGUGAACCUGCAAAGCUUCUUCUAUAGAAAGUGUGGGCUCUUUAUUUCAGCCUUGGGGACCCUCGGGUGCAGCCUGGUGACAAGUGUAUCCAAGGGAACAGAGGUAGGACUUUGGUCACUCACUGGGUCAUUGCUCUGGGACUGAGGCACCCAGAAGGAUGGGCUCCCACAGGCUGUCCCUGUACCCCCCUCUGAGGCCCCCAAGAGAAUAUCCCUAGGUUGAAGGUGAAGCAGGCUGUUGCUAAGGAACCUUUCACCAUCACCCUGGGGAGGGACACGGACGGCAGAGAAGAGGGGCAGAAAUAAUAGAUACAAACAGGUUGCUUGAAUUUCCAAAGACCCAGCUGUGUCAGUGCUAGCUCCGGAGUCAGGCAGGAGCCCCCAUCUGUUCCCUCCUCCCAGAGUGAUCACAAUGACACGCUGGGGGUGCAGCUCAGGGAAGGAGCCCUUGCCUAGCAUCAUGAGGCCCCUAUAAAACAAAAGAAGAAAAUGGUGCAGCCUCAGACCUGAGCCCAAAUGCUGAAUCCAUUUAUUUGCUUUGCAACGUAGCCUCUUGGAGCCAUCUACAAAUGGAAAAGAUAACACCUACUUCUCAGGGGUGUGAAGAAGGCUGGAUAAACUAAAGGAUAUAAAGUACUUAGCCCAGAGGAGGAAAUAAAACAAAACAAAACAAAAAAACGACAGCAGCACUGACCAGGACAAGGCUGGGAUUUAGGAGCCCAGGAGCCCGUGGCACCCCAAACGAUAGAUUCCAAAACUGUGCUCUAAAUCUGCAAAGGCCUGAGCUGACUCCCCGUAGAUACACCACACCCUUUAACCUUCCAACAGUCCUGGGAGAGGGGCUAGGGUGGCAGGAGGCUCCUCCCUUGCCAGGGACCCCAUGAGACCCAGCUCAGUCUAGGCAGAGGCUUUCUACAGUGCAGAGCAGCUUGAGGCAGGGCAAGGCCUUUUCUAACACCCGGCUCACCAGACAGAGUGGGUGGCGGGGCUCACGGCAGAGGCCGCGUCUGCUUCCUGGGACCCCCAGAGCACCUGGACCCAUGGCCGCUCAGCCCUGAAGCCUUUCUCUCUGUGAUGAGAUUGGAACUGAGGUAGAAGAAGCAAGGAGGUAGAGAGGAAACAAGGAAAAUAGGAAUUUUAGAAUCGCACUUUAAAAAAUAGGGCCAGGGAUGUAGCUCAGUGGCACCAUGCCUGCCUUGCAAGUGCAAGGCCCUGAGUCCAAUCCCUGGUACCAGUAAAUCAAUCAAUAAAAUUUUUAAAAAUAAAAUUUUAAGAAAAUUUCAGCUUCGGGACAUAAUCAAAGGUACACAAGGUUACAGUGCCUUUUUUCCGCAGUGGGUGUCUUGUUCUCCAGGAUCCCCACUCCUAAAUCCCUAAGUAUUAAAGAUAUAAUACAUCUGCAACCUGGGCUAUGGUUUUCUUCCGGUGCCAUAAAUUCACGCAUUGCAAAGAUUUCCUCUCUCAAAAGAAUUCUCCACCAUAUCUCUCAACUUCAAACAUACAAAGUUCACAUUUCAUUUAAUCUUACUCGAUAAAGCCAGUUUUUGGUUCAGCCCACUAAUGAGCAACCUGACCUUAAGGAGAUGGACACAAGAUAAGUAAGUUUAGAAACAGAAAAGAAAUUUUAAAAAGGAAAGAAAAGCAUCCCAGGACACGCGUCAUGAAGAUAAAACCACAUAAACCCCCAACCUCAGACCAUAACGCUCCUCACCCAUCAAGAACCACCACACUCUUUUCUUAGUCUUUCUUUGAUUCUGCUUAAUAACACUGCCUCUACCUUUCCAUGACCCGUCCCGAAAUGCGUUUCUGGGACAAAAGCUGACACACCUACUUCAUGGGGGUUGUGGGGGGCGAGCUGAGGUCUCCACUUCCUUUCUGAAGGAGUCCUCUUCCCCUGACAGAACUCUGUUGACCAGGGCUCGGGUCCUGGCUUUACCGUCAACCACCUGUGCUGACUGAGGGGGUGGGGGGGUGGAACCCUCCAGAGCGCUAGAGUCUGCCUUCUAAACAGAGCCAGAGUGGUGCCUUAGGUCCAAGGGUUGCUGGCGAAGCUCAGCCAGAUUAGGAUUUGACACUGAGUCAGCAGAUAAAUCCGUAUUAUCAACUCCAUGCAGUUCUCCCUGUUCAGUGCCAUGAGUGCCACAGAAAGUUCCAGGUCUUCAGUUGAUAACUCGCUAGUUGAUUUUAUUGAUAGCUUGUUUACUUAGGUAAGCACUGGGGAUGUUUGCCAGAAAAGCUCAGGAACUACAACAUCAAACCCAGCUGACUGGAAGUUAAUAUAUAUUCAUUUAUUCAACAAAUACACAUCAGGUGGCAAGUAGGUGCCAGGUCCUGGGAAACAGGUCUGAUUGGGAUGGAAUUUCCCUUCCACCACAAACGAUAAAAACAAGAACCAAAGUGGGAAAAUCUAGCCGGGAGUCAGCUAAAGUUAAAAUCACUGGGCAAAGAGUUAGAAAAGAAAGGAUUGGGAAGCUCGCUGCCUCCGUUCAUCGGGAGAAACACACUUUUUGGUUUUGUUUCACUGGUUUCAAGAUUUUCUGACUGGGCGUGGUGGUGCACGCCUGUAAUCCUAGCAUGGGGUAGGAUGAGGCAGGACGAUCCUGUGAGUUCGAGACCAGCCUGGGCUACAUAGUAAGUUCCAGGUCAGUCUCAACUACAUAGUGAGACCCUGUCUCAAAAAACAAAAACAAAACUAGAAUUUCUCAUGGAAGAAGUACUCCAGUGAGGAGCUUUUGGACAACACAAUGAGUGAUUUCAAUAUCAAUUUUUUUCUUUUUCCCAGCAUUUUAUAAUAAAUAUCCUCAAAUAUGCACUUAGAAAAGCAAAAAGAAUGUGCACAUCACAUCUCCAACCUCCUCGAACCUAUCAUGAGUAUUUUGCUGCACGAACUGCAUUUUUUAACAGGAAGUCUCUCCCUGGGCCGUUUUCAAGCUCCGUUAGACUUUUGCUAAGGACGCAGCUGCUGCAGGUCCUCCAGGACGGGAGGGUGGGCUGGGGCCAUGGUGGGGAAGAGGGAAUCGAGCCCGGAGUGUAGCUGUCCCGGAAUCUGCCAGGGUAGGGAUGGGGUAAGAGCCAGGGAGGAAAAAUAUCGAAAACCAAAACUCUUGCGAAACAAGUCUGGCCCACUGCUGGGCCCGCGCUCUUACUGUGUGGUCUCGGCCGGCGAAUUUGAGAACCCGACUCUGGUGGCUGCGUUUGGCCGGAAGUCUAGGGAUCGUCUUUCUCUCGCUCUGUCCUGCAAGGGUAAGAAAAGGCAGCGAUGGCGCCCGCCCCGCUGCCCAGGAACGCGAAUGACAGCCCAGAGCAGCUCGGGUCGGGCGUGCG